GGGAGAGGGCAGAAGGCCGUAGAAACCAAGACUGCAAAAAUCAAAACUCUAACAACACCAUCACAAGGAUGGCCUGAAACUCACUAAAUAGACUAGGAUGGAAUCCUCCUGCCUCAGUCUUCCAAGUACAGGGAUCACAAAUUAAACAAGGGAAGCAGGAGAAGAAGGAGCUGGCACGCACGCACGGAGAGGAGGUGGUGUGCCUCCAGCGGGGACUUGUCGGACACCAGCUGUGCACUUUCUAACAUCCUAGAGACUUGUUGCAGGAUCGCCCCAGGAGCCGUGCCCACCCUGAAUGGAGUUCUGUCUGACCCAGGAAGGUUCCAGCCAUGUCAAGCAAGGAACAGAAGGCCAUGAAGUAAAGUGCCAAGUGCCCGAGGGUAGAUAAGACCCUCCAUCAGAAGACUCCAAGAACCGAGAUGCAGUCAACCCUGCGGACAAUCCAGUAGUUGGUACCAGUGAGAUGGGCAGUCAUUGCUCAGAUUCAGAUGU
rnacentral:lncRNA from 1 species